rnacentral:autocatalytically_spliced_intron from 1 species
AACCGCCGUGUACCGAACGGUACGCACGGUGGUGUGAGAGGACGUCGGUUAAUCACCGCCUCCUACUCGAU